rnacentral:piRNA from 1 species
UUUCAAAAGGUAGCCUAUCAAA